AUGUGCAGGCGCCCCCUGCGGGGCUCGGGGUCCGUGGAGACGCCACUCUCCAAACACCUGCUUUCACAGGUGCCCCCUGCGGGGGCGUUUCUUGGCUCUGCUUGAAUGGUCACAUUGACUUGUUAUGUCGGCUGCGCUCUGACUGAGAUAGAGAGAGAGAGAAGACUUGCGAAAGACGAAAUACUGACGUCGGAGUAACAGCCAAGGGCCGAACGGUCAUCGUUAGGUGUGUGUGUGUGUGUGUGGGGGGGGGGGGGGGAGUAUUAAGAGAAAAUUGUGGAACAGGGGAGAAGGGCUGUGCUUCGAGAACGCCGAAACAGCGGGGCGCGAGGAGCCACAAACCGCGACCGAAGGGAGGCGGCAGAACCGAUGAAGGAAGGAACCUUUUUGUAGAGUCCAGAGGAGAGCGGGAGGUAAUUCCGGUGGCACACGGUCGUUGAGACGUCGCCACAAACACACCGCACAAAACACACACGCAGAGCGCACCAGCACACAGCACAAUGGCUCCGCAAAGCAGUGCGGUUCUUGCGCUGUCCGGUGCGCUCGCGUCGGCCCUUGAAAAUCCGAGUGAGGGAGUGUGAUUUUCGUGCCGGACCGUACCCACAUCAGCAGCAGGUCUCCAAGGUGAACAGCCUCUAGUCGAUGGACCAAUGUAGGCAAGGGAAGUCGGCAAAACGGAUCCGUAACCUUGGGAUAAGGAUUGGCUCUGAGGACUGAGCCGGUCGGGCUGGGGACCUGAAGCAGGAACGGCACUGCACCGGGACUGGGCGGGGCUCGCCGUUCACGCUGCGCGGCCAAGCCCGGACCAGCGUCGGGACCUUCCUGUGGAAAGCCUCAGCUGCGCAGCGUCUGAGGGCUUCGUUCCCAAAGUGCUAUGCUUCGGCCGGCAAAAAACAGUCAACUCAGAACUGGCACGGACCGGGGGAAUCCGACUGUCUAAUUAAAACAAAGC
rnacentral:ncRNA from 1 species